UACGGGGGGUGCGAGCGUUGUCCGGAAUCACUGGGCGUAAAGGGCGCGUAGGUGGUUUGAUAAGGGUGUGGUGAAAGUCCGGAGCUCAACUCCGGAUCUGCCGUGCCGACUGUCAAACUCGAGGGCUGUAGAGGCAGACGGAAUUCCGGGUGUAGCGGUGGAAUGCGUAGAGAUCCGGAGGAAGACCGGUGGCGAAGGCGGUCUGGUGGGCAGUUUCUGACACUGAGGCGCGACAGCGUGGGGAGCAAACAGG
rnacentral:rRNA from 1 species